rnacentral:lncRNA from 1 species
UUAUCUCAUAAAAAAUAAUUAUAAUUCAAGCAUUAAAAAAACCUUUACAUUGAUCAUCUCGGCUUGAACAUUACAGUUAUGGUAACAGAGAGUAGGAUUUAAGUUGGGUGCAGUUGGCAUACAGACGCUUCUGUAGGUGUAGAGGUACGGCGCCCUUCAAAUUUUAUCAUGGUAUAUAAUUUCAAUAUAAAAUGUUAUUAGGAUUAUCUCAAAAUCUAUUUUUACAUUUAAUUAUAAAUUUUAAAAUUUCAAAAAUGGUUAAAAUCAAGUAGAUCUAUAAACAUAUGAAAAUCUUGAAACUGGAUAGUGUACAUAAUAUGUUGUAAAAUGCACUAUUUCUGAUACUUAAAAUCUUUUUUAUUUUUCAUAGUCAUAUAUCUUGAAGUUGAGACCAUCAAUCAAAGAGUUUUUCAACAUUAAAACUACCUUUUCCCAUGGAUUUUUGAGGGGCAUCUAUAGUUCUACAUUAUAAGGUAGUAUCGUUAUAUAAACUUUUUCCUUUUAAGUUUUGAAAAUAUUAUAUAUUAUAACAAAUUAUUUAGAUUGUACAAUUCUCCCUAAAAAUAAGUGUUUAUAGAUCCACAAGAUCUAUACUAUUUUUUGAGUUUCAAAUUUUAUUCUCUAUAUUGAAAAUUUAUUUUAGAGCAAUAAUGGAGAUUUCUUUAUAGAAAGUGCUUUCGGGAAGCGGACUUGACGUAAGAGUUUAUUUUGUUUUUACUGGGCUUUAUAAAAACUUCAUGCUUUCUUGCGAGGGUGCAGUUUGUAUAGGGCUGAGGCUCUAAACAAUCAAAGUAGAGCCCAUCUUCAAAUAGUGUCAAGUAAUAUGGUUUCAACAUUGAAAAUCUUUGUGACAGCCUUAAAAUAUAUUUUUAUAUCUAAUUUUAAAAUGUAAAUAUUUAAAAAUAGUGUAGAUCAAACAGAUUUAUGAAAACUUGCAAAUCUUGAAAAUUGACGGUCCAAAAAUGCAGGACUAGAUUUAUUAUUUCCAAAACUUGAAAUCCAUUUUUUUCUCAUGUUCAUGCAGCUUAAUGUCGAGAUGGUCAAUUUGAGGAUAUUUGGGCAUCAAAACAAUGUCGAGAUGGUCAAUUUUUUAGGUGAGCUCUAAUUUAAUUAUUUAGAACCUCGGCUCUAUAUAAACUUUUUCUUUCUUGUAAAUAUCAAAAUAGGGAUCAAAUCUUCUUAAGAUAUCAUUAGAAGGGUGAAAUGAUUAUAAAUUACACUCUAGGGCACGUGCUUCCAAAUCCCCUCUAUGUCUUGAUGGGAAGCCAUAACAAUUAGGGCGUGUUUGAUAAUAGGAAGUGGCUUCUAGAAGUUGAGAACUUUUCAACUUUUUGUGUUUGAUAAAAAUGAGAAUCUCAAAUCGAAAGUUUUCAUCUUCCCACACCCUGUGUAAAAAACGUUCCGACCCAAAGGUCGGAACCUAAAAUAGGAAGCUCUAAACUUCCUCCCCAUUCGAUAACCUAGAGCACCCCUCCCCUUCGAUAAAACCCUAAUCUUUGAGCAAACCAACCCCCCCCCCCCCUCCCCACCCCUGAGCACCCACUUCACUGAGCACUCCUUUCUGCGCCAUUGAGCACCCACCCUGUUGAGCGCCCUCUUUUCACAACUUUUCAUCUCGCCGUUAAGCCAGCCCAACACACCAUUAUCUCAAGCAAACUUGUGAUCUUUGCCAUUGAUCUUGAGGUAUGCACUUUAUUCUCUCUGAUAUUAAUCAUUGUGUUUGUUCUUGAGCUCUUGAAGCAAAUGGCUCUUAUUACUGAUCUCUAUGUUUGUUCUUGAGCUAUUGAAGCUUAGAGCUCUUAUACUCCAUGAUUUUAGGGUACAAGUUUUUUUGUGGGGUUGUCCCUCUCUGUUGACUCCCAAUUUCGAUCUUAGUUUUUUUUUUCUUGUCUCUCUUUCUCUUUGUUUGAAAAUGGGCAAUGGAUGUUACUUGCUUAUAAAAUGCCCUAAUAAGUGUUUAAUAGUUGCUGGAACUUAGUGUUCUAUUCGAUUAUG